rnacentral:lncRNA from 1 species
UAGAAGUGUGUGUGUGUGUGUUUGUAAGAGAGAGAACGAGAAAAAAAAAAAAUUUGUUUGAGAAAGAAAGAUAGUAUGCUAAUUAAUUGUUUCGUUUAUUUCUUUGAGAAAUAAACUUAAUUAGAAAUAUAAAUCAAUUAGUUAUAAUUUGAACUUGAGACCUCGGAGACCAACCAUCUGGCCCUUUGUCCCGUUGUGCUAGAAACGAUUUUAGGUAAUUAAGGAAAAGUAUUAAUGUAGG